ACAGCAAAACAGAAUGGAUUUUAAUGCAGCAAAUCACUUGCUUUCAAUCCCAAACUUUGGUUCUGAAUUAGAUCAAUUAUUGAAGUGGUAAUCAUCAAUUCAAACCAUAGAAACAUUUUGCACACACCUCUGAAUCACAGCUUCCAAUUUCCAUAUCAGAAAUUGACAUAACAGCGUUUCUGCUGCUGUAUUCUUGGAAAAUUACGGAACUCAACUAUGGAUUCUGUGAUUCAAUAAUGCAACUGACUUGUAUACACUUGAAACAAGUCUAAAAUCACCAAAAGAACUUGCUNCAAUCAACAAACAGCACAGAUCUGGACUGAACAAAAUUUUCACAAUAUUUCCAGAUUUGGAAACUAAAUCUGAUGCAGAUUUUCAAUGCCACAGCAGAUCAGAGAAAUUUGCUUUAAAAUGCUAAGCUCAUGUGAUCAAAGCUAGACAAUGUCNUGAUGCUUUUUAAGAUCAAAGAAGAGUUAUCACUGCACUGAUCUAACUCAAACACAGAAACACAGUUGCUGAAUGGAAAACCAAAUAACAAUUCAAAACUGCUGAAAUCAUAGCACAAGACUUGACAAAACUGGAAUCUGAAAUUUAAAGCUGAAUAAAAUGAAAAACACACAAGAUGCACCGAUUAAAAUGUGGAGAAAACACUAAGGAACAUGUGAAUGAUCACCAAAGACUUACUCACACAGAUUUAUCAAAGAAAAACUCAAUGAAACAGUGAAUUGAGAAGUGGAACAGCACAACACGGAUGAAAUCAAUGGAACAGUGACUUAUCUGAAAUGUAGAUCAGCAACAAGGCUCUGAAUACCACUUGAUAAGCCUCUCCAUUGUGUGCGUGAAAUUAGAACUUGGAAGAGAAGGGAUUCCAGCAACCGGCAGCGGAAAAGGAUGAGAUGUAGUGAGGGGCUGUGAUGGCAGAGAAGGAGGUGGUNUGGUCCUAGCUUCAGGCAGCCUCCAUUGUUGGAAGAAAGCUAAGAGGUGGGAGAGAGUUGAGAGAAGAAGUGACUUUGGCAAGCAUUUGCUAAGUUGAGAAGAAUUUCAG
rnacentral:lncRNA from 1 species